rnacentral:sRNA from 1 species
UAAACUAUAUUUUGGAUUGCUGUGUUUUUACCUCGUUGUUUUUUUUUUCUAUCUACCUGGUAAUUUGAGAACCCUCACUUGCAACAUAUCACCAUAUUAUUCACGUGUUUGAUCAACCUGGAGACCCUUUAAAGAGAUCAUCCUUCAUCAUUUAUGAUAUAAUGAAUGAAUUAAUGGGAAAGAGAUUUUCUCCAAAGGACCCAGAUGAUGAUAAGUUUUUUCAGUCAGCCAUGAGCAUAUGCUCAUCUCUCAGAGAUCUAGAACUUGCCUACCAAGUACAUGGCCUUUUAAAUACCGGAGACAACUGGAAAUUCAUUGGACCUGAUCAUCAUCGUAAUUUCUAUUAGUAAGUGUGUUGGAAACACAUCCUUUUGCAUGAGUUACCAGAUUCUGCAAGUGGGAGGCUGUUGAUGUCCCUUCAUACCUCACUUGUGGUUUCAGGCAGCAUGCCAGUGAUCUAAUAGGACAUGUUAAUUGAGCACUUAGGAAUUAAAGCAGUGGUAAAAGUACCAGAUUUGAAAGACUAGUUUGUGUCCUUUAAGGGUUUUUUUUUUUUUUUUUUUUUUUUGCAACACUGUAAAAUCCACAUAUCUUUUUCCUCUACCCCCUCUCAUUUUACAUUUUCAAAUUGCUAUAGCAGGGUGAGCCCUGAAGAUUUCCUCUCACCUCCCUUGUUUUUGUAUUCAGAGAUGAAGAUACUGGAACCCAGAGAUACUCCCUAAAUGGGUUUGCUUUUAGGCAGAUAAGAACAUGAAUUUA